AUGAGGGUGGCGGUGGUUGGUGGCGGGGUGAGUGGGCUGGCGGCGGCGCACGAGCUUGCCGCCAGCGGCGGAGACGCCGUGCGGGUGACCCUGUACGAGGAGGAGGCCUGCCUCGGCGGGCACGCCAGGACGGUGGCCGUCGACGACGGCGCCGGCUGCGUCAAGCUCGACCUCGGCUUCAUGGUCUUCAAUCAGGUAACAUAUCCCCACAUGAUGGAAUGGUUAGAAGGGCUCGGGGUUGACAUGGAGAGAUCGGACAUGUCUUUCUCAGUGAGCACACAAUCGAAAGGAGGCGUCGGAGGAUGUGAGUGGGGAAAUGGCAAUGGUAUCUCAAGCCUCUUGGCGCAGAAAAGCAACAUACUGAAACCCAGUUUUUGGCGCAUGGUCCUUGAGAUACUCAAGUUCAAGAAUGAUGCUCUGACGUACCUGGAGGACCAUGAACACAACCCUGAUCUGAACCGUAAUGAGACAUUGGGGCAGUUCAUUCAGUCGCAUGGAUAUUCCCUAUCGUUUCAAGAAUCUUAUCUUAUUCCAGUCUGCACUGGCAUGUGGUCAUGUUCAUCACAGGAUGUUUUGAGCUUGUCUGCUUUCUUGGCGCUGUCAUUUUGCCGUAACCAUGGCCUUCUUCAGCUGUUCCAUCACUCCCAGUUGCCCACUGUCAAGCCUCGUUCGCAGUCCUAUGUAAACAAGGUAAAAGGAGAAUUGGAGAGCAUUGGCUGUCGAAUUAAAACCAGUUGUCAGGUCAAAUCUGUUUCAAGCCUUGGUGGAGCUGGCUACAGAGUCUUGGAGAAGGAUGGUUCAGAGGAAACAUACGACAGUGUCAUCCUUGGGGUCCAUGCACCCAAUGCUCUCAAAGUACUAGGACUUGAAGCUACAAAUCGCGAACGGAGAAUUCUAGGUGCUUGUCAGUAUGUCCAUAGGGAUAUAUACCUUCACUCCGAUCAAAAUCUGAUGCCCCGAAAUUCGUCAGCAUGGAGCGCCUGGAAUUUCCUGGGGACAAGUAGCAGGGUUUUUUCUGUUACUUACUGGCUAAACCAAAUUCAGAAAAUUGAAUCUGUCAGGCCUUUCCUGGUGACACUCAACCCCCCUUGUGUUCCGGAUCAUGUACUGCUUAAAUGGAAUACAAGCCUUCCUGUUCCGUCUGUGGCCGCGGCGAAGGCUUAUCUUCAGCUUGAUCAGAUCCAGGGAAAGAGGGGAAUAUGGUUCUGUGGGGUAUAUAACGGUCAUGGCUUCCACGAAGACGGAUUGAAGUCCGGGAAAGCAGCAGCUCAAGGUUUGCUUGGAAAGAAAUGUGAUGUUCUGCUGAACCCAAAGAAGAUGUCUCCAUCAUGGACUGAGGCUGGGGCGCGCCUUCUAGUUAUAAGAUUUUUCAACCAAUACGUAUCCAUUGGUAACUUGAUAUUGGUCGAAGAAGGAGGUAGUGUGUUCAGCUUUGGUAAAGCUUGCGACAAAUGCUGUGUAAAAUCUGUCAUCCAAGUUCAUGACCCCUUGUUCUAUUGGAAGGUUGCAAUAGAAGGAGGCAUGGGCUUGGCAGAAGCCUAUAUUGAUGGUUGUUACUCUGUUCUUGACAAGAGAGAAGGCCUUCUGAAUCUUAUCCUGAUUCUCAUUGCUAACAGAGACGAGCGUAGGAACCGCCGCAUUGCUAGAAAAGGGUUUUGGUUGUCACCCUUCCAUGUAAUAGCUCAAUUGGCAUAUGCUAAACACUUUUUGCGCGAGACCUCAAGGAAGAACACUGCGACACAAACUCGUCGAAACAUCUCUCAGCACUAUGAUCUUAGUAAUGACUUUUUCUCGCUUUUUCUGGAUAAAUCAAUGACUUACUCUUGUGCAGUUUUCAAGGAUAAUGAAAGCUUAGAAGUAGCCCAGCAACGUAAACUUAGCCUUCUAAUCAACAAGGCUAAAGUCAAGAGGGGGCAUCAUGUUCUUGAUAUCGGUAGCGGCUGGGGAAGUUUAGCAAUCGAAACAGUUAAGCAAACUGGCUGCAAAUACACUGGAGUCACUUUGUCGGCGGAGCAGCAUAAAUACGCUGAGAGAAAAGUAAGAGAAGCUGGCUUAGAGGACCGCAUAAAUUUUCUGCUGUGCGACUACCGCAAAAUACCACCUUUUAAGUAUGACGCAAUCAUAAGCUGCGGUAUGAUUGAACAUGUUGGCCAUGAAUACAUGGACGAAUUUUUUGCUUGCUGUGAGUCUUACUUGGCUGAAGAUGGGAUAUUGGUCCUCCAGUUCAUCUCAGUUCCAGAGGAACGGUAUGAGCAAUACAGAAAAAGGCCAGACUUCAUAAAAGAAUACAUAUUCCCUGGCGGUUGCCUUCCUUCUUUGGCCCGUAUAAUGUCUGCCAUGACCACGUCAUCAAGGUUCUGCAUAGAGCAUGUCGAGAAUAUUGGACCCAAUUACUACACAACUCUGAUGCAUUGGAGGGACAACUUCAUGGCCAACAAAGAUGAAGUUUUGGCCCUGGGCUUUGAUGAAAGGUUCCUCCGUAUAUGGGAGUACUACCUCAUAUUCUCUGCGGCUGGUUUCAAGUCACGAGCAUUUGGAGAUUACCAGGUUGUUUUCUCUCGUCCAGGCAACCGUCGGCUAGGCCAGCCUUGA
rnacentral:rRNA from 1 species